GCGGGACCCCGGUGACGACGCGCAGCUGAUUCCUUUCCUUCCCCGAGGGAGCGGCAACGGCCGACCCAAACGAACCCCGCGUUGGGGCGCGAGAUUAGACAAAGCAAACCCGGACCAUAAGCUACACCAGAACGAACAUAACCCCAGAAUGGACACGCACUAGGUGCUCGCUCUCGGCUCUUCCCUUCUCUCUUCCACCGGUACGGUGCCUAACCCCUCCUCCUUUCUCUCCCCCAGAUGCGAACACCCCGCCGCCUCCUCCUCAUAACCCGCCCGACCGCCGUGCCGCCUCCUCUCGCGUUCCUUCCGGGUCCCUCCCCCCUCCAACCGAGCCUGAUUUCUCCGUUGUUGGUCGGCCUGGGGAGGAGACUCCGCCGAGGUUGGGUGGGAUUUCUCGGUUUGUAUUUGAGCCGGCGGUGCGUUGAUGUUUGAUGCUGCUGCCCGAUGGAGGGGGUAGGGAGAGAGCACGAUAGCUCCGUGGCGCUGCCCGUGGAGGAUUUCGGCGCCGCCAAGGAUACAACCAGCGUGAGCACAAAGCCUACAAGAAGGUAUCCGCUCGCGUCAUGGGUUGCCAUAUUGGCCCUGGCCACCCUUGUAGGUGUAUACAUAUUCUCCUUAUCUCUGAAGCAAAAUGGGAUGCUUUUCGGGCUCAGGCAGACCAACAUGAUAGAGAAAGAACGGGAGCAACCUUGCCACCACCCCGGAAUUCCAGAGACCGAGAUCCCUUUGGUGCACUUCCCCACACCCAAUACUUAUAGUAGGAAAGAAUGUGCAUGCACACCAGUUAGAUUCUUUGCUAUCUUGUCGAUGCAGAGGUCGGGAAGUGGAUGGUUUGAAACCUUGUUGAAUAGCCACGAGAAUAUUAGCUCCAAUGGAGAGAUUUUCUCUGUCAAAGACAGGCGUAGCAAUGUCACGGCCAUCACACAAACACUCGAUAAAUUGUACAAUCUCGACUGGGUCAGCAGUGCCGCUAAAAAUGAGUGCACGGCUGCUGUGGGGUUGAAAUGGAUGCUCAAUCAGGGUCUGAUGAAACAUCAUCAAGAGAUAGCUGAAUAUUUCAACCGAAGGGGUGUGUCUUUAAUUUUCCUUUUAAGAAGAAACCUUCUGCAGCGAUAUGUCUCCAUAUUGGCAAACGAUUAUGAUAGAAAUACGAAGCAACUAAGUGGAACUCACAAAGCUCAUGUGCAUCACAGAGGCCAGGCUGAUGUUCUUGCUCAGUAUAAGCCAACAAUAGACACAAAAUCGUUGAUUGCUGAACUAAAGAGGUCUGAUAAGUUGGCAGCUGAUGGUUUAGUGAGUUUCAAGAAGAUCCGGAGUAUUGUUCUGUACUACGAGGAUGUGGUCAGCAAUCGCACUAAGCUCACAGAUGUGCUGGAUUUUCUGAAAUUGCCAAAGAUGAAGCUAUCCAGUCGGCAUGUGAAAAUCCAUACUAAACGAUUGCGUGAUCAUAUUGAUAAUUGGACUGAUGUUUCUAAUACUUUGAAUGGGACUCAAUACGAGAGCUUCUUGAACGGCCGAAGAUGACCAGAUUAGCUAGGUGUAAAUAAUGUUGUAGUGAGUUUCAUUCUUUUGGCCCCUUCUUUCGCCCCUGCCAUAGCUAGCAGAGUAAGCCAAAGUUGGCACUUGUGUCCAUUAUGUGCUAAUCCAAAGGGCUCAUUUGGUUUCCAUUUGACGUCCUAACAUAUAUAUAAAUUAGCUGAUUAAAUUAAUAGCUACCAUACAAAGUUUUUUAAUUUAGAUAAAAGGCUUUUUUUGCUCAGUUUAAGCUUGUAGUCUCCAGGACAUGGAUCGCAAAGUAGAGCAUACAAAGUUAUGAUCAUCUUACACCAAAAACCUCUUCCUUAGAUCAGAGUAUAUAAAUGGUUGAUGAUUACAUUUUGUUUAGGACUAUUCAUUAUUACUGUAUGACAAUGUUUAGG
rnacentral:rRNA from 1 species